CAGCAGCCGCGGUAAUACGAAGGGGGCUAGCGUUGCUCGGAAUGACUGGGCGUAAAGGGCGCGUAGGCGGCUUGCACAGUCAGAUGUGAAAUUCCUGGGCUUAACCUGGGGGCUGCAUUUGAUACGUGUGGGCUAGAGUGUGAAAGAGGGUCGUGGAAUUCCCAGUGUAGAGGUGAAAUUCGUAGAUAUUGGGAAGAACACCGGUGGCGAAGGCGGCGACCUGGUCCAUAACUGACGCUGAGGCGCGAAAGCGUGGGGAGCAAACAGGAUUAGAUACCCCAGUAGUCCCUGUCUCUUAUAC
rnacentral:rRNA from 1 species